rnacentral:misc_RNA from 1 species
GCAUUCUUGAGUAGUUCAUUGAUAAGUUUGCUGAAGGCCAAGUAUGAUGAACCACCCUCCGUUACGCUGGCUCUGCUCUUCUCUUUCAUCAUCUUUGCUUCAUGUCUUACUGCGGAGUUAGUUUCCAUCAAUUUACUUAUCCCAUUUUCGAUGGCUUCUGCUGUUACUAUAGCUUGAUCUUUAUUCCUCUCGCAGUAAUCCAAAGUAAUCUCCACUGCUACUCCUAUCUCUUUCACUAAUUGAAACGCGUUAACCUGCUGUUCUGAGUGCAAUGGCCAUGUCGCUAUAGGAACACCAUACCAUAAGCUUUCAAGUAUCGAAUUCCAUCCACAGUGUGAUACGAAUCCCCCGAUUGCUUCGUGAGACAACACUUUCAAUUGUGGAACCCAUCCUACCACUUUCCCUUUUUUCUCUGUUCUCUUUAGGAAUCCUUCAGGCAAAAUUUCUGAAUAGCUCGUGUAUUCUCCUGGAAAUUGAGCGUUGUUGCUCUGAGGUGGACGACGUAAAGACCAUAAGAAACGGCAACCAAUGUUAUCGAGAGCUAUAGCGAUCUGUUUCACUUGAUCCGUUGGUAAACUCCCCUGGCUCCCAAAACAGAGUAGCACCACCGAAUUAGGUGGCUGUUUGUCCAGCCAAUUUGUUAUUUCUGCCUCCUCUGACUCCGACUGUGAUUUCGAUUGGUUUAAAAUUGGACCAAUUGGAUAGAUGGAUGGCAGGGGAUGAGCUUGCUCAGAUCUUGAUAGGUUGUUGUUAUUGUAUGCAUCCAAGGCGUAUACUUCUAGUUCAGCAAAAGUGUUGAUGAUGAUUCCUUUGGCUUUUCUAUACCCACGAGCAAAAUCGAGAAAUCUCCCUAACCAUGUGUCUCUAUCGACUAGAACCAUUGGCAAUACGUUCGUAGGAACAGGGUAUGCGUAGCUAGGAAAUGAUAACAGAGCAGUACCAUCAUCAGAGUUUUUGAAACUGGAAACAUCUCUCGAACACUCAUCUUCAAGAAACUGGAAAUGAAUCAUCAACCCAAGAAAAGCAGCAGGGGAAGUGAAAAACACAUAGCUCGGGAUCCCAAACUCUUCAGCUACAUCCAUCAAUGGAGUGCAUAACAUGUCUACAACAAAUCCAGCAAGUUUAACACCGCCCCGUUGACUUAUUAAAAAUUCCCUGAUUCGAGAUUUUUGAGUUUG